GGGUUGUGAGGUUAAGCGACUAAGCGUACACGGUGGAUGCCCUGGCAGUCAGAGGCGAUGAAGGGCGUGCUAAUCUGCGAUAAGCGCCGGUAAGGUGAUAUGAACCGUUAUAACCGGCGAUACCCGAAUGGGGAAACCCAGUGUGAUUCGUCACACUAUCAUUAACUGAAUCCAUAGGUUAAUGAGGCGAACCGGGGGAACUGAAACAUCUAAGUACCCCGAGGAAAAGAAAUCAACCGAGAUUCCCCCAGUAGCGGCGAGCGAACGGGGAGGAGCCCAGAGCCUGAAUCAGCAUGUGUGUUAGUGAAAGCGUCUGGAAAGGCGCGCGAUACAGGGUGACAGCCCCGUACACAAAAGCGCAUAUGCUGUGAGCUCGAUGAGUAGGGCGGGACACGUGGUAUCCUGUCUGAAUAUGGGGGGACCAUCCUCCAAGG
rnacentral:rRNA from 1 species